rnacentral:rRNA from 1 species
UACAGAGGUCUCAAGCGUUGUUCGGAUUCAUUGGGCGUAAAGGGUGCGUAGGCGGCGCGGUAAGUCGGGUGUGAAAUCUCGGGGCUUAACUCCGAAACUGCAUUCGAUACUGCUGUGCUUGAGGACUGGAGAGGAGACUGGAAUUUACGGUGUAGCGGUGAAAUGCGUAGAUAUCGAUAAGGAAGACCAGUGGCGAAGGCGGGUCUCUGGGCCAUUACUGACACUGAGAAGCGAAAGCAUGGGGAGCGAACAGG